AAAUACGUAAUGAAAUUUGAUAAUUAUGUCUGAGUUUAGAAGCAUUACUUGUUAAGUGAUAAGGUGUCAAAACAGGAUCCCAUCUCUGUAUAGAUAGACUUGCUGUAAAGUGAUAGGGUGUCAGAACAGGAUCCCAUCUCUGUAUAGAUAGACUUGUUGUAAAGUGAUAGGGUGUCAGAACAGGAUCCCAUCUCUGUAUAGAUAGACUUGUUGUAAAGUGAUAGGGUGUCAGAACAGGAUCCCAUCUCUGUAUAGAUAGACUUGUUGUAAAGUGAUAGGGUGUCGGAACAGGAUCCCAUCUCUGUAUAGAUAGACUUGUUGUACGUCUUGAUAUUGAUGCAAUUUCUGUUUUGUUUUUAGUUUUGUUUUUAAACUGAUGGUGAACUUUUUUCCUUGUGUUUUAUCAUAUUUAAUAUCUCAAGUCCAUGGGGUGAUUUUAAAAUAGACUUAAAUAUUGUUGAUUCUACUUUGAAGUUAAUUAAGUCAUACGAAAUAAAGCCACUAGAACAGGUUCAUUGCCUGAAAGAUCAGAUUUGUUUUCCAUUGACUGUAAGUCGUGAUGUUUGAGUGGAGAUACCGAGAUCUUUGAGUGUAUUAACAAUUUCAGUGAAGAGACCUUUUGUCAUGUGACCUGUUUACAGUAUUGUUUGAAGUCAUUUGCAAAUAAAGUCCUCAAUCUUAGUCAUGAGUUUUAUGAUAUGAAUACAACAUCCAACAUCAGAUGUAUUUUCAUGAUAAGUACUUGAAAGGAAAAUGAAUAUAUUACAUAGAACAAGUUAGAGGGUUUCGAGCUAAUUAACCUUGUUUCUGAAAUCCUUACUUUUUACUACUUUUGUGCCGACACCAUUGUUAAGUCUAACGUCACAGGAUGCAAAUUGUGACAGUACCCAAAUUGGGAUACUUCUCAAGUGAAUUUUAACUGUUGUAAAGGUAAAACAGAGUGUACUUCUAAGCAAUGGGACCAAUUUCAUACACCUACCACUUAUAUUUUGUUUAUAAACUACAUUUAAAAAGGCAAAAAAAAAAACCAUGUAAAAAUUACAAAAAGUAGAAUUGUGCAAAAAUUUUGUCAUUUGUCAGAAAUUUAAAUAGAUAAUUAAAAUGAAUUUUGAAUGGUCAGGUGACUUAAAAUUAUUCCAUUGAAUAAAAACGUUUUUAAAAUGAAGAAAAAUAUAAAGUGUUGACAUUCAUCUUUAUAAACAGACAUUUAUGAUGAGGUGUCUCAUAUUGGGUACAAUCCUCAACUGAUGUACCAUAUGAACCUGUCGCUAUUGAAAGGACUGUGUAAAUUGAACACAAGUGCCUCUGACAUCCUUAAGUAUGCAAAAUAAAAUGAUACAGUAUGUAUUGUUUCAUUGUAGCUAUGUUACACACAAAAACUGCAAAAUACUGAUAUUCCUCUUUGUCCCAAUUUGCAUCCUGUGAUUGUAAUGCUGAAAAAUGCCCAUUGAUGUGUUAUUUGUCCGUAUAUUUUAUCUAUGUUUUAUUUUGGCAAAACAAAAUAUAUUUAUCAAUCAUCAUUUGCUUGUCACUUUUGUUGCAAUUGAGCAGCUUGAAAAUUUUGAUUUUGAUAUUUUGUGCUUUUCAUUGAAGAUAUACCAUUUAUGCACCUUAUGUAAAUGUGAUCACAGUCCAUAUAUUGUAUAUAAUUUUGAAUAGUUUUGGCUUGAUGCAGUGAUUUAGUGUUAAAUCUUUGAAACUCUUCAGCUUUUAAAGUUCUUAAAAGAACUUGAUAAAUUUAUGUUUGUGCAUAAUUAACUGAGGAAAUCAAAUCUGUUUCAUGAAUGAAGGAAAACAUACGCCUAUUUGAUACCGUACAUCUCUAGAGGGUGAGAGUAACUGCAUUUGGGCAUGAUUUUUUUUAUGUCCAUUGUUAAUACAAGUAUAUUUCACUUUUUAGAAUUUUUAUAAAUUUCUCUUGUUACUACAAACAACCACUUGUCAACACAGCUGAUGAAUAAUUUUCAAAUUUCACCUUGUAAGGAAUUUCAAAAUUCAUUUCAAUUCUGAAAAAAUAUUUCAACUUCAAUAUUUAAAAUUCUCAUUACAUAGUUUGCUUGGAUAUGAUAUUAAUUUCAUUAUCUCCAGUUUCUGUUUGACCAGCAAAUGCACAUCAUGUACCCAAGUCUUUGUGAAAUAGAUAGCUGCACUAGUAGAAUAUGUUUAAAUCCUAUAUAUUGAAUUCUUAAUGAGUAUGAGAAUAUUUGUUUCUAAAAUGGUAAUUUUGACACAGGUAAACUUUAACCUGUUACUGAAGGACAGGAAAUGCAUUUCCAUUCAAUCUUAAGAUCUGAGUUGAAUUUUUUAUUUUACGAUGACAAUUUAUUUCGAUGUUACCAGUGAGAUUUCACUUCAUAGUCAGUUCACUCUAGAUGUGAAUUAAUAUAACUGGAAUCUUGCUUCCACUUUGCAUGUAAUGUAAAUCAUUGUUUCAUAGGAAGUAAAAUAUUUACUUUCACUUUACCUACAUUUUACAUUGUAGUCAUGGGGCAAUCUUUAGUCAUGAGGCGAUGAAGCCUUGUAUAGUCACAACACAGCAAUCAUUAGUAGUAUAUGCAUUAUGACUGACUCACUGAAUAAAACAAAAUGUUAUGCAAGUUUAA